rnacentral:lncRNA from 13 species
UGCAUGAAGGCCAGACUAUGUUGCAUGUGAAAUAGGCUACAUAACAUGAAACAUUUAAAAAAUACAAAUGAAAAGGUUUGGUGAAGUUAUAUUCAAAAUGCUCAUGCUGAAAGUUGCCACCAUCAUAACAGCUUGAGUUAAUCAAUACAUUUGGUGGUUACAAUAAUGCUCUCAAAAUGUUCCAAUGCUGUGCCUAUAUUUGAUCAGAUAAUAGGGAGAACAGCUUGAACCCAUUAACGGUGUGAUUGUCCUCCAUGGCAACGCACAUGUAAGUUUCAUUGGGAGUGCAAAUGAUUGGUCAACUGCUGCUGACCGCGCCCUCAACCAUAUACGGAACAAUCAGCACCGGUGAGUACGGGGAUUGAUGCUGCUACCUUCUGUGCGGCGUAGGAAGACAACCAUUGUCUAAUGCGGGGAUGCAGGUGGAUCGGCUGGGCUCAUAACGGCAUGUGAGUCUGAAGUCUGUCCUUCCGGAAGACGAAGAAGUCUGCAGCAUAUCACCUCCAUGUAAAUAUUCAAAAGACCGCAGGAAUUCUGCCCGGAACGUUGUCUUUCUAUCGGGUGUUGGAGCACAGAAUAAUGCCCAGAGCAAUGGGACACUGAGGAAGAUGGCGCUUGCACCUGUUUCUGCUUGGCUCUGUGCCUAGCUAACUCCUGGAGACUGGACUGGACUGGACUGCAGCUGGAAGGAUGCCAGGAUAUUUGGUUUAUGAGGGAGGGAAAGAGGAACAGAGAACCUUGAAUUAGUU